AGACGAAGGUGACCUGUGGCUGGGCCAGGGGCUGCAACACAGGACAUGGGAGCUGUCUCUCACUCCCGCUCGUGUCUUGUGUUGCAGCCAGUGGAACGGCUACACUGU
rnacentral:pre_miRNA from 8 species